GGAUGGUACGAAACAAAAACGAGAACGGAAAAAGACUGUGUCAUUCAGCAGUAUGCCAACUGAGAAAAAGAUCAGCAGUGCAAGUGACUGUAUAAAUGCAAUGGUUGAAGGCUCUGAGCUCAAAAAGAUUCGAUCCAAUUCCAGAGUGUAUCACCGAUAUUUUCUUUUAGAUGCAGAUAUGCAAUCCCUACGCUGGGAACCUUCAAAAAAGGAUUCUGAAAAAGCAAAGAUUGACAUCAAGUCAAUCAAAGAAGUAAGAACAGGAAAAAAUACAGAUAUUUUUCGCAGCAAUGGAAUAUAUGACCAGAUAUCAGAGGACUGCGCAUUUUCUAUCAUAUAUGGAGAAAACUACGAGUCACUAGAUCUUGUUGCUAACUCAGCAGAUAUUGCAAAUGUUUGGGUUACUGGCUUAAGAUACCUGAUUUCUUAUGGAAAACAUACUCUAGACAUGAUAGAAAGUACUCAAGAUAAUAUGCGGACUUCAUGGCUUUCACAAAUGUUCAGUGAAUCGGAUGUAGAUAAUUUAGGACAUAUACCCCUGUGUAAUGCUGUACAGUUUAUAAAAGACUUAAAUCCUGGUUUAAAAACAAAUAAAAUUGAAUUAAAAUUCAAGGAGUUACAUAGAUCCAAGGAAAAAACUGGUACUGAAGUAACAAAAGAAGAGUUUAUUGAAGUUUUUCAUGAGCUUUGUACUCGACCUGAAAUCUAUUUCCUGUUGGUUCAGUUUUCAAGCAAUAAAGAAUUCCUAGAUACCAAGGACCUUAUGAUGUUUUUAGAAGCAGAACAGGGUAUGGCACAUGUCACAGAAGAAAUAAGCCUUGAAAUUAUUCAGAAAUAUGAGCCAGCCAAAGAGGGCCAGGAAAAAGGUUGGCUUUCUAUAGAUGGGUUUACGAAUUACCUUACUUCACCAGACUGCCACAUAUUUGACCCAGAACAUAAAAAAGUUUGUCAAGAUAUGAAACAGCCAUUAUCUCAUUAUUUUAUAAAUUCAUCUCAUAAUACAUACUUGAUAGAGGAUCAGUUUCGAGGGCCUUCUGACAUCACAGGUUAUAUUCGUGCUCUUAAAAUGGGUUGUCGCAGUGUUGAACUGGAUGUUUGGGACGGUCCAGAUAAUGAGCCUGUGAUUUACACGGGACAUACAAUGACUUCUCAGAUUGUCUUCCGUAGUGUGAUUGACAUUAUUAACAAGUAUGCAUUUUUUGCUUCAGAGUAUCCUCUUAUUUUAUGUUUAGAAAAUCAUUGUUCUAUUAAACAGCAGAAAGUGAUGGUACAACAUAUGAAGAAAAUUUUGGGGGACAAACUACAUACGCAGUCUCCAAACAUUGAAGACUCUUAUCUUCCAUCACCGGAAUCACUUAAAGGAAAAAUACUAAUUAAAGCAAAAAAGCUUUCCUCAAAUUGUUCUGGACUAGAAGGAGAUGUUACAGAUGAAGAUGAAGGGGCAGAAAUGUCACAAAGAGUGGGGAAGGAGGGUGUAGAACAACAAAACUCUUUGACUGGGAAACGAUUUCAGCUUUGCAAAGAGCUCUCUGAGUUGGUAAGCAUAUGUAAAUCAGUUCAGUUCAAAGAGUUUCAAGUUUCAUUUCAGCUCCAGAAGUACUGGGAAGUGUGCUCAUUUAAUGAAGUGCUUGCUAGCAAAUAUGCCAAUGAAAACCCGGGAGACUUUGUAAAUUAUAACAAACGUUUUCUUGCCAGAGUUUUUCCCAGUCCUAUGAGGAUCGACUCCAGUAAUAUGAAUCCCCAGGAUUUUUGGAAAUGUGGUUGUCAGAUAGUAGCCAUGAACUUUCAGACGCCUGGAUUAAUGAUGGAUCUUAACAUUGGUUGGUUUCGACAAAAUGGGAACUGUGGCUACGUCCUUCGUCCUGCUAUCAUGAGAGAAGAAGUAUCUUUCUUUAGUGCAAACACAAAAGACACUGUGCCUGGAGUUUCGCCUCAGCUGCUUCAUAUUAAAAUCAUUAGUGGGCAAAACUUUCCUAAACCCAAAGGAUCAGGUGCCAAAGGUGAUGUUGUGGAUCCAUAUGUCUAUGUUGAAAUACAUGGAAUCCCUGCUGACUGUGCCGAGCAAAGGACAAAGACUAUGCAUCAGAAUGGUGAUAAUCCAAUUUUUGAUGAAAGCUUUGAAUUUCAAAUAAAUUUACCAGAACUAGCAAUGGUGCGUUUUGUAGUGCUGGAUGAUGAUUACAUUGGGGAUGAGUUUAUCGGGCAGUACACUAUUCCCUUUGAGUGUCUACAGACUGGUUAUCGUCAUGUUCCUCUGCAGUCUUUAACCGGUGAAAUGUUAGCACAUGCUUCCUUGUUCGUGCAUGUGGCCAUUACUAAUCGAAGGGGUGGUGGGAAACCUCAUAAGCGGGGCCUCUCUGUGAGGAAGGGCAAGAAAUCACGGGAGUAUGCUUCUUUGAGAACACUGUGGAUUAAAACAAUAGAUGAAGUGUUCAAGAAUGCUCUCCAACCUAUACGGGAUGCCACGGAUUUGAGAGAAAAUAUGCAGGAAAACAAACUCCAGACCUGCCAGAGAUCACCAGCUCCCACUUGGUACAGAAAUCCUAAAUUCAAUACAGUGCUGAGAACAUUCCUCUCAUGGAAUUUCAGUGGCUGCUUGGAGUCACGUUACAUUUCUCAUACUGGAAAUUCUUUUCAAGUUUUAACAUGCAAUUUUAUAUUCCACCAUAUUGGAUAGCAAAUAAAACUAAAAUAAAUUUUAGGGAAAUAUACAAAAUUGGAAUUUAUAUAAAAGUACCUGAAAAAUUUGUUUAAGUGAUCCUGUGAUAGGAGUGACAUCAGUAGUGGACUGCUGGGUUUGUGAAUCGCACCAAAUGGGAGCCAGCAGAUCCACAGCACAGUCUGGAUGAUAGUUAAGAAUGCAGUAGUCUCAUUCAAAGAAUUAUGUGGCCUCUCUCCUGUAGCAAAUCUUAUGCAGUGCAUUUUGGCAGUGUCUACGCGCUUGGUUGGGCCUGAUAGUGCACCCU